UACGUAGGGUGCGAGCGUUGUCCGGAAUUAUUGGGCGUAAAGGGCUCGUAGGCGGUCUGUCACGUCGGGAGUGAAAACACGGGGCUUAACCCCGUGCCUGCUUCCGAUACGGGCAGACUAGAGGUAUGCAGGGGAGAACGGAAUUCCUGGUGUAGCGGUGAAAUGCGCAGAUAUCAGGAGGAACACCGGUGGCGAAGGCGGUUGCCUGGGGCUUUGCUGACGCUGAUGCGCGAAAGCUGGGGGAGCAAACAGG
rnacentral:rRNA from 1 species